AUUGAACGCUGGCGGCAUGCUUUACACAUGCAAGUCGAACGGUAACAGGCCGCAAGGUGCUGACGAGUGGCGAACGGGUGAGUAAUGCAUCGGAACGUGCCCAGUCGUGGGGGAUAACGCAGCGAAAGCUGCGCUAAUACCGCAUACGAUCUAUGGAUGAAAGCGGGGGACCGUAAGGCCUCGCGCGAUUGGAGCGGCCGAUGUCAGAUUAGGUAGUUGGUGGGGUAAAGGCUCACCAAGCCAACGAUCUGUAGCUGGUCUGAGAGGACGACCAGCCACACUGGAACUGAGACACGGUCCAGACUCCUACGGGAGGCAGCAGUGGGGAAUUUUGGACAAUGGGCGAAAGCCUGAUCCAGCCAUGCCGCGUGAGUGAAGAAGGCCUUCGGGUU
rnacentral:rRNA from 1 species